UUGAACGCUGGCGGCCUGCUUUACACAUGCCAGUCGCACGGCAGCGCGGGCUUCGGCCUGGCGGCGAGUGGCGAACGGGUGAGUAAUACAUCGGAACGUGCCCAGUAGUGGGGGAUAGCUCGGCGAAAGCCGGAUUAAUACCGCAUACGACCUGAGGGUGAAAGCGGGGGAUCUUCGGACCUCGCGCUAUUGGAGCGGCCGAUGGCAGAUUAGCUAGUUGGUGGGGUAAAGGCCUACCAAGGCGACGAUCUGUAGCUGGUCUGAGAGGACGACCAGCCACACUGGGACUGAGACACGGCCCAGACUCCUACGGGAGGCAGCAGUGGGGAAUUUUGGACAAUGGGCGAAAGCCUGAUCCAGCAAUGCCGCGUGUGUGAUGAAGGCCUCCGGGUUGUAAAGCACUUUUGGCGGGAACGAAAAGGACUGUGCCAAUACCACGGUUCGAUGACGGUACCCGCAGAAUAAGCACCGGCUAACUACGUG
rnacentral:rRNA from 1 species